rnacentral:rRNA from 2 species
GCUUCUGAUUGAUAACAUUUGAGUGAGUGGCGGACGGGUGAGUAACACGUGGGUAACCUGCCCUAAAGUGGGGGAUAACAUUUGGAAACAGAUGCUAAUACCGCAUAAAACCUAGCACCGCAUGGUGCAAGGUUGAAAGAUGGUUUCGGCUAUCACUUUAGGAUGGACCCGCGGUGCAUUAGUUAGUUGGUGAGGUAAAGGCUCACCAAGACCGUGAUGCAUAGCCGACCUGAGAGGGUAAUCGGCCACACUGGGACUGAGACACGGCCCAGACUCCUACGGGAGGCAGCAGUAGGGAAUCUUCCACAAUGGACGAAAGUCUGAUGGAGCAACGCCGCGUGAGUGAAGAAGGUUUUCGGAUCGUAAAACUCUGUUGUUGGAGAAGAACGUAUUUGAUAGUAACUGAUCAGGUAGUGACGGUAUCCAACCAGAAAGCCACGGCUAACUACGUGCCAGCAGCCGCGGUAAUACGUAGGUGGCAAGCGUUGUCCGGAUUUAUUGGGCGUAAAGCGAGCGCAGGCGGUUUCUUAAGUCUGAUGUGAAAGCCUUCGGCUCAACCGAAGAAGUGCAUCGGAAACUGGGAAACUUGAGUGCAGAAGAGGACAGUGGAACUCCAUGUGUAGCGGUGAAAUGCGUAGAUAUAUGGAAGAACACCAGUGGCGAAGGCGGCUGUCUGGUCUGUAACUGACGCUGAGGCUCGAAAGCAUGGGUAGCAAACAGGAUUAGAUACCCUGGUAGUCCAUGCCGUAAACGAUGAGUGCUAGGUGUUGGAGGGUUUCCGCCCUUCAGUGCCGCAGCUAACGCAUUAAGCACUCCGCCUGGGGAGUACGACCGCAAGGUUGAAACUCAAAGGAAUUGACGGGGGCCCGCACAAGCGGUGGAGCAUGUGGUUUAAUUCGAAGCAACGCGAAGAACCUUACCAGGUCUUGACAUCCUUUGACCACUCUAGAGAUAGAGCUUUCCCUUCGGGGACAAAGUGACAGGUGGUGCAUGGUUGUCGUCAGCUCGUGUCGUGAGAUGUUGGGUUAAGUCCCGCAACGAGCGCAACCCUUAUUACUAGUUGCCAGCAUUUAGUUGGGCACUCUAGUGAGACUGCCGGUGACAAACCGGAGGAAGGUGGGGACGACGUCAAAUCAUCAUGCCCCUUAUGACCUGGGCUACACACGUGCUACAAUGGAUGGUACAACGAGUCGCGAGACCGCGAGGUUUAGCUAAUCUCUUAAAACCAUUCUCAGUUCGGAUUGUAGGCUGCAACUCGCCUACAUGAAGCCGGAAUCGCUAGUAAUCGCGGAUCAGCAUGCCGCGGUGAAUACGUUCCCGGGCCUUGUACACACCGCCCGUCACACCAUGAGAGUUUGUAACACCCAAAGCCGGUGAG